rnacentral:misc_RNA from 1 species
AACUUACGGCAAUGGAUCUCUUGGCUCUCCCACCGAUGAAGAACGCAACGAAAUGCGAUAAGUAAUGUGAAUUGCAGAAUUCAGUGAAUCAUCGAAUCUUUGAACGCACCUUGCGCCCUUUGGUAUUCCGAAGGGCAUGCCUGUUUGAGUGUCAUUAAAUUCUCAAUCUCGCAGACUUUGUUUGCGAGGCUUGGAUGUGAGGGAUUUUGCUGGCUUCCUUUGGAUGGUCUGCUCCCUUUAAAUUCAUUAGUGGGAUCCUUUGUGGAUGGUCACUUGGUGUGAUAAUUAUCUACGCCGCCUGACUCUGAAACAAGACUUGUGGGAACCUGCUUACAACUGUCUCUUUUUAGGGACUAUCUUUGACAAUUUGACCUCAAAUCAGGUAGGACUACCCGCUGAACUUAAGCAUAUCAAUAAGCGGAGGCU